CCAUGUUAGUCUGUAUUCACAAAAAGAAAAGGAGUACUUACCAAACAUGAAUCCAGCCUUGGUCUUAGCACUUGAAGGGGCUGGGAUUUGCAGUAGUGCUGGGGGAUGCAAAAGGAUACAAGAAGGGUGGGCCCUAAUGAGCUUACGCAGCUGGAUAGAUACCUUGACAGAGCUAUGCAGCUUUCUCCUACUUUUUUUUAAACUAUAAAUAAGGUUUUGUAAAUCUGAGAUUAUAAAAACUUGUUAUGAACAGAAUAGUUUUUAUUACACUGAUUUUUAAAUUUUCAAUUAAAAGCUUUUUUUUUUUUAAGG